CCUACGGGUGGCAGCAGUGGGGAAUAUUGGACAAUGGGGGGAACCCUGAUCCAGCCAUGCCGCGUGUGUGAAGAAGGCCCUCGGGUUGUAAAGCACUUUCAGUGAGGAAGAACGCCUGGUGGUUAAUACCCAUCAGGAAAGACAUCACUCACAGAAGAAGCACCGGCUAACUCCGUGCCAGCAGCCGCGGUAAUACGGAGGGUGCGAGCGUUAAUCGGAAUUACUGGGCGUAAAGCGCGCGUAGGUGGCUUGAUAAGCCGGUUGUGAAAGCCCCGGGCUCAACCUGGGAACGGCAUCCGGAACUGUCAAGCUAGAGUGCAGGAGAGGAAGGUAGAAUUCCCGGUGUAGCGGUGAAAUGCGUAGAGAUCGGGAGGAAUACCAGUGGCGAAGGCGGCCUUCUGGACUGACACUGACACUGAGGUGCGAAAGCGUGGGUAGCAAACAGGAUUAGAUACCCGAGCAGUC
rnacentral:rRNA from 1 species